rnacentral:lncRNA from 1 species
AACUACUCGAUUAGGCUCCUCAAGCACUCGAAUAGCAGCAUAUAAAGGAGUUCGAACUCAACUUGAAACUCGACACGAGUAAAUUGAACUCGAACUCGAGUUCAAACUCAGCUUAAUUUGACGGAGCUCAAAGUCAAACUUAUUUUGACCGAAUAUUUACUGGGUGUUGGACAAGAGCGGCUUGAUCCGGUAGCACUCCUACUCUAACCCAAAAACAAAAAGGGGAAGAAAACAAAGAGUAAUAUUUAGCAUAAGCUAUAUACAAUCACCCUUUAGUUUUUGUUUGGUUGAAAAUAAGCCUGAUUGCUACCAAUUUUGAACUGAGCCAUAGUAAAACAGCUGAAAUUAUGAAAAAUUGAUUGAGGCUCAAUAAAGUGGACUGGAUGAUACUUUAUGGGCAGGCCUUUCUCAAAGAUUAUCUUCCUUUUCUCCAAAAAAUCAACAGAGAACAACGACGCAUGGAUUCUGCGCAACAAUUUUCUUGAUUUCUUACACACCCUGGAAUGGCCAUCCAUUUAAUUGUCAAGAGUAAACGAUCUUGCCAACUAGCUGCAUCAAGAAUAACUGUCCCAAUCAAACGCCAAAAUCUACUGCUCAUGGCUACUCACGAGUCAACUAAAGAAUCCACAAACUUCGGGUGAACUGAGUAAAUAAAUGAACCACAACAACUACAAAGCAAGAAUAUAGUAACUAAAUUUGGACCAAUUAAUUACCAUCAAAAGCUUCAACCGUCAAAUGCUUCAUAUGCAGAGCCUAUACAGUGAUUACGUGCAAAGCAAUAUGGCAUGAUCUGCCAUGCUGAUUCUACUUCAGAAGAAAGAAGGAAUUGGUAAGCUCAUUAUGGGAUUUACCCUCUUGCUGUUUUCCAUAUUGGCAGUUUCUUCUGGAGAUCUUUUAUAAGUAUUUUGUAAUCUUUGCAGUACUAGUACCUGAAAGUACCAAGUUUGAAAAAAAAAACAAAAAAGUACUAAUGAAUGGAAGGUGCACAGAAGCUCACAUGGCUGAUUCUGCCGACUAUUAGAAUAGAAUGAAGGUUUGAUGCAUUAGGAGACACGUAUUGCUGCCAAGAAAUGCGUGACAGAGCAAAAUGAGUGUGAAAUUGACGAUAUUCAACCAUAUUCCAUUGUCUUUUUGCUGAGCCAAAACUUAGGGGGAUUGAGUUUCAACUGGAGCAAGUAUCAUACAGUCGGUGGAAUGGAACAAAGUGGUUGGCAAAUUCAAGGUGAAGAAGACUUUAAUGAAUUCGGACCCUCCUCUUUUUUCUUUCUUUUUCAUGCAGCUCCUUCUUCCCGUUUCAACGAUGUGGGGUUUCUUUUAAGAAGAUGUUGAGUUUAUGAAAAUGCAAUUUUCGGUUUGAUUUGAAUGUUAUGCCAACAUUUCAGAUAUUUCUUCGCGAUAAUACAACCAAAAAAAAGUGGUGGA